GGUUAAGUCCCGCAACGAGCGCAACCCUUGUCAUUAGUUGCCAUCAUUUGGUUGGGCACUCUAAUGAGACUGCCGGUGACAAACCGGAGGAAGGUGGGGAUGACGUCAAGUCCUCAUGGCCCUUAUGGGUAGGGCUUCACACGUCAUACAAUGGUCGGUACAGAGGGUUGCCAACCCGCGAGGGGGAGCUAAUCCCACAAAGCCGAUCGUAGUCCGGAUCGCAGUCUGCAACUCGACUGCGUGAAGUCGGAAUCGCUAGUAAUCGCAGGUCAGCAUACUGCGGUGAAUACGUUCCCGGGCCUU
rnacentral:rRNA from 1 species